GGGCGUGUAACUCAAUUGGUAGAGUAGUACUUUUGCAAAGUAAAGGUUAGAGGUUCAAUUCCACUCUCGUCCA
rfam:Sphaeroforma arctica JP610 cont1.10258, whole genome shotgun sequence.